UACUAGAGUAGCACUCGCAUAUCAAUAAGCGGAGGAAAAGAAACUAACAAGGAUUCCCUUAGUAACGGCGAGUGAAGCGGGAAGAGCUCAAAUUUGAAAUCUUCAAGGUUCUACCUUGACGAAUUGUAGUUUAUAGAAGUGUUUUCUGUUAGUGGAGUGGCAAAAGUUCUUUGGAAUAGGACAUCAUAGAGGGUGAGAAUCCCGUAUUUGGUCAUUCCUCCUAGCGUUGUGAUACACUUUCAACGAGUCGGAUUGUUUGGGAAUGCAGUCCAAAAUGGGUGGUAAAUUUCAUCUAAAGCUAAAUAUUGGCGAGAGACCGAUAGCGAACAAGUACCGUGAGGGAAAGAUGAAAAGAACUUUGAAAAGAGAGUUAAACAGUACGUGAAAUUGUCAAAAGGGAAGCGUUUGACACCAGUGUUGUUUUUCCGAAAAUCAAUUACGAAUGUUUUAUUUUUGAGGAGUUAUGACUUCAUCGGCUUGCUCCUUUCUUUAUGGAACUUUCUUAAUGCACUUUUCGGUUAACAAGUCAACAUCAAUUUCUUUUGUUGUAAAAGAGUAUGAGGAAGGUGGCUUUCUUUUCGGAGAAAGUGUUUAUAGUCCUUGCUCCUCUGCAAUCGGAGAGAUUGAGGUCUGCAGCGUAGAUCCUUCGGGGUUAGAUACACUUUGUGCUAAGUUAUAGCUUUUCAUAGACAACAUGUUGACUAUGUUAAGUCUUGUAGCUUACUCGCUUGUGCUAUUUUACCUACGCUUAGGAUGUUGAAGAUGUAGCACAUCAU
rnacentral:rRNA from 1 species